AUUACAAGAGCAGCUGAAGUAAAGAGAAGAGGGGGUUAGUGCUGGCUGGAGGCGUAGGAGGAAAACACCAGGCAAGAGUUCUGGCAUCGGAUAUGCUGCGACUCUGAGAGGACAUCUUCCCUGGGUCUGGCUCUUACUGUUCAGGUUCAACCACGUGAAGAUGACGUUGGUGUGGAGGGUCCAAUGCUCUGCAUUUGGUGCUUAAUCCAGAGGAGGAGUGUCUCAUGCAAAAGUGUAACUGUGCAUGCUGUGAG